CCGGUUUCUUGGUCUGGUUAGUCAGGCUUAACACGCAGAACAUCUGAAGUUCGCUCCUGCAAGAAAUCA
rnacentral:tRNA from 1 species